GGCUCGUCCGAUCCUCCCACCCUAAUGUAUACUACCUCUGUUGCUUUGGCGGGAGGGAUCUCCAGCCCCCGAUUAGGUGGGCAGGCAAACCGCCAGAGGACUAUCAAACUCCAGUCAGUAAACGUUGCAGUCUGAAAAAAAUAUUAAAUAAACUAAAACUUUCAACAACGGAUCUCUUGGUUCUGGCAUCGAUGAAGAACGCAGCGAAAUGCGAUAAGUAAUGUGAAUUGCAGAAUUCAGUGAAUCAUCGAAUCUUUGAACGCACAUUGCGCCCCUUGGUAUUCCGGGGGGCAUGCCUGUUCGAGCGUCAUUUCAACCCUCAAGCUCUGCUUGGUAUUGGGCACCGUCCUUUGCGGGCGCGCCUCAAAGACCUCGGCGGUGGCGUCUUGCCUCAAGCGUAGUAGAAUACACCUCGCUUCGGAGCGUAAGGCGUCGCCCGCCGGACGAACCUUCUGAACUUUUCUCAAGGUUGACCUCGGAUCAGGUAGG
rnacentral:rRNA from 1 species